rnacentral:rRNA from 1 species
AUUGAACGCUGGCGGCAUGCCUUACACAUGCAAGUCGAACGGCAGCGGACCUUCGGGCGCCGGCGAGUGGCGAACGGGUGAGUAAUAUAUCGGAACGUACCUUUCAGUGGGGGAUAACGUAGCGAAAGUUACGCUAAUACCGCAUAUUCUGUGAGCAGGAAAGCAGGGGAUCGCAAGACCUUGCGCUGAUUGAGCGGCCGAUAUCAGAUUAGCUAGUUGGUGAGGUAAAGGCUCACCAAGGCGACGAUCUGUAGCGGGUCUGAGAGGAUGAUCCGCCACACUGGAACUGAGACACGGUCCAGACUCCUACGGGAGGCAGCAGUGGGGAAUUUUGGACAAUGGGCGCAAGCCUGAUCCAGCCAUGCCGCGUGAGUGAAGAAGGCC